CAAAGCUGCAGAUGCAGACGUUUAGGAGAAUGGCAGAGGAGGCGUUGUUUAAAUGCAUUAAUGUAUAAAUGAAUGGAUGAAUGGACUAAUGGAUUCAUUAAUUUAGGAUUGAAUAUUUAUAGAGAGGCCAAUCCCUCAUACACUUGCUCUUAGUUGUGUUCCCUUUUAAGAGCACAUAGGUCUGAUGUUUGGGUUGUUUUUUUCUGCAUAUUUUUUUUACACUUCAAGAUACAGAUCAUUAAACAAAUGUCAAUAUUACACAAAGAUAAUCAUGAUUUUAUUUAUUAAGGAAAAAAGCUGUCCAAACCUAGCUGGCCUUUGUAAAAAUGCUAAACCAUGAAAGAACUGUGAUUAUUCACAAUUGUUGGAAAGCUGAGUUAAAUUUCACCGAGGCCUGAUUACUGCCAGAGCUGUUGAAUCAAGAAAUCUCUUAAAUAGAACUUGUCUAACAAAGUGUUUCACACUAAAAGAUCUAAAAAGCAACAUGAUCUAAAGAAACUUAAGAACAGAUGAGAAAUAAAGCUUGGAAAGGGCCAUUAUCCACGAAUGGGGAAAACAUGGAACAUUAGUGAACCGUACCAGGAAUGGCUGGCCUACUAAUAUUACUCAUCCAGGAACUUAUAAAAGAACCCAGAACAUCAUCUAAAGAACUGCAGGCCUCACUGGCCUCAGUUAAGGUCAGUGUUCAUAAUUCAAGAAUAAGAGACAAAAAUAUGGACACAUUUGCCCAAAACUUCUUGAUUAUACCCAAGUCUUUAAGCAUGUAUUCUGUGGACUGAUAAGACAAAAGUUGAACGUUUUGGAAGGUUUGCGUCCCAUUACAUCUGACACAACAUUUCAUGAAAAGAGCCUCAUACCAAGAGUCAAACACGGUGGUGGUAGCAUGAUGGUCUGGGGCUGCUUUACAGCUUCAGAACCUGGACGAUUUGCCAUAAUUUAUGCUUUACCAGAAAAUACUGAAGAGAAUGUCUGGCAAUCAAUUCGUAACCUCAGGUUCAAAUGCACUUGAGUUAUGUAGCAGGUUAAUGAUCUGAAACACACAGUCAGGAAAGUUUGAUAAGCUUUUUUCCCUUAAUAAAUGAAAUCAUCAUUUAAAAAUUGCGUUUUGUAUUUACCUGGGUUAUCUUUGUGUAAUAUUAAAAUUCGUUUAAUAAUCUAAAUUAUUUAAGUGUGACACAUGAAAAAAAAAAACUUUUUUCACAGCACUAUACAUUAGCAAGGACAAAAUAAUACUGACAUUAUUUAAGAAUAACUGAUUCCUUUAAUUCGUUCAUGGUGAUGUCAAUAAUCUACUAUUUAUCCAAAUACUUAAUUAACAAACAUUGGGUGAUUUACCUAGCAUGCUAAUCAGCAGUGAGCUGAUAUGACUACGUCUCCCUCGUUAGCUUUAAAAACUAAAUUCAGCCACUGUGUCCCCAGUGGCUCAGAUACCUAACCCUAGGAAGGUAGCCGAGGUCAACAACUGUACACAACACUCGCUUAGGCGCCAUUUUGCUCCAGCGGCAAAAAACAAUGGCCGACAGCUUCUUCUCACUCGGGGCGGGUCUUUGCUAAAACAUCAGUGUCAAUCAACUAGUGUAGGAGUGGCCUCUUGUGGUGUGGCGUCACAUCGACAGGCAUUUGCGAUUGGCCUGAUUUCAGAAGGGGCAUGUUAUUGUAAUAAAUGAAAAGAAAACCACUGGGCGGCUCUUUAUCUUUGUAGAGUGGUUGUGUACGCACUCUCCUAGCACAAUCCCAAAUAUUUUUAUCCAAAUAUCCUGAAUACCAGUCUCCCACUCUGUGAUAAACAUAAAUCAUGGAUUUCAAAUCAAAUGUGUUUGGUGUAUGAUACACUCAAAAAAAUGAACAUGGCUACCUGUUACAUGUACUAAAAUGUAAUAUGUGUUUUGUACAUAAUAAUUUCAUGUUUCCAAGAUGAACAUGAAUAAAUUAUGUUGUAUUUGCAUGAAAAUCAACAACUUAACAUGUAUUAGAUUUAAUCAUGUUGAGAUAAACCAAAGAGAUCUUGUCACUAGGAAAAUCGGAAAUAUCAGAGCAAACAUCGCGAGAACAUAUCGCGAGAAGAGAACAGUUUGUUGAGAAGACAAACGUUUGGCAGGCGUGUGGAAAAGCUGUUUGUGAAUGAAAAGUGUCCCAUCUGCAUCUGACUUCAGGAGUUUCUUGACCAACCGUAUCUAACGGUCAUAUUUAAAAAUCAUAACGUACAGUUAUAAAGUACAAAAUGUUUCUGUUGGUGUAUAAUUUUUUAUGAUUAAUACUUAUUUGUGGUGUUUUAUGUUUUGUUCAUCUUUUUAAAUUGAGACCUCGUGUAAGUUGCUGCUGGUGUAAAAUAAAAAUCUCUGUUUUAUCCUGUUUGUCUUAAGGUGUGUUUGAGCUCAUGCUGCGCUGCGCAAACCGAUCGACAAGAUUAGCCGAAAGCAGUCGGGGAGGAGCUAAAAACGGAGCCGUCAAGUCGGACACGUUGGGGAUCUCAUUGCUUUCUCAAACAUGGCAGAUCACGUGCCGUUUGCCUACUUUAUUGCAGAUGAACUGGAAGCUAUAGAAAUACCUUUUUUGUUGGAAGAAAUGCAGCAGAAUGAACAACGACGCUCCUCCACAACAGUUCCCAAACUGGUCAACAUUCUUUUUUCAAAAGAUCGUCUGCGCCUCUCUUUCAGUUGACGCCAUCUCUCCAGGUCCGGCCUUACAAGAGACUCAAGCACAGCUGUUCUUCGUUCUGCAUGCGCUUCAUAUGCCUCAAAAAAUUGUGAGGGUUGUGAGAAUCUCUGCCUCCUGGACAUGUUUGUACUGGCAGAGGUCCCCAGCUGCCCAUCUACAGAAGCACCUGCUGCCUGAGCUUAAGGAAGAGAGAUUGAUGGAGGCUUGUUUUGAGAAGGUGGAUCUUCCAAACAUAGAAGAGUAGAGCAGAUAGUUCCAGGUGGUGCAGUUCCCAUCCCAGAGGACCCAAAUAGCUCAUCCAUUUGCUGCAGAAAAAGCACGAUGUAAUAUGAAAGUGACUUUAUAAUAAAAUGCAAAAUUAUCUUAUACAGUGCAGUCUUAGACUUACUGUGUAGUACUCCCAGGUUUUCUUUUCCCUCCCCAGUUGCACGGCAGUGAUCCUUAACUCUUUUAUAAGUAGUUAACAUGUUGGUUAACUUUUUUUU